UACGUAGGGCGCAAGCGUUGUCCGGAAUUAUUGGGCGUAAAGAGCUCGUAGGCGGUCUGUUGCGUCCGCUGUGAAAACUCGGGGCUUAACCCCGAGCCUGCAGUGGAUACGGGCAGACUAGAGGUAGGUAGGGGAGAAUGGAAUUCCCGGUGUAGCGGUGAAAUGCGCAGAUAUCGGGAGGAACACCGGUGGCGAAGGCGGCACUCUGGGACGGUACUGACGCUGAGACGCGAAAGCGUGGGGAGCGAACAGG
rnacentral:rRNA from 1 species